UUUAAACAAAUUGACUCAUUCGUGUCCUCGUUUCCGGCCGGGACGAGAACAAGGAUUGAGGCCUCCCUCGAGAGCUUCCGAAACCCUAACAAACUUCAUCACAGAGGAGAUCAAAAACCCAGAGAGAACCAUGUGGUGGCGGGCGUGGUUUGGCUCGGCUGCAGGGGGGACGGAGAAAGGAACCACUGUUCAGGGAACGGUGCCGGGGGAGGCAAUUGGCCUGUUGAAAUUAAUCAGUGUUUGUAUUCUGCCUGUUAAGUAGGAGAGAUCCGGCGACAGCAGUUAAACAAGAUACGUGUGUAAAAUGUAUUCUAUAAAAUACUAAUAUACCGGUGUGGCGGCCCAAGGGCCACUGCCAGGGUAUUUGUGGCUGUGUCCCUGUCUGUGGGUGUUACAGGGUGAACUUCCUGGUGGAGUGGAGCUGAGGCCAUCAGGCAGAUCAGACCCAGCUGGCCACUGUCUCUUGAGUGCAUUAAAACCUGCCCCUUCCUGAGUGUUUGAGGGUGACUGCUGGUUUUCUCCUGUUCCCCAGCACAAUGGCGUGUUUCCUUUGCUGUGUUUUGUUUGUUUAACCAGUUACUUUGGUGAAUAAAGAUCUUUGGCUGGUAA